GAGCCGUAUGUUUUGCUGCAAAAUAAAGAGAGCCUAUUUUACAAGAUGGUGCAACAACUGGGCAAGGCAGAAGCCGCUGCCCUCACUGAAACAGCAAAACAGGUAUACUUCAAAAGAAAUUAUCCACAUAUUGGUCACACUGACCACAUGGUUACAAACACUUCCAAUGGACAGCCCUCGACCUUAACUAUUUUCGAGACAGCACUGUGAAUCCAACCAAAAUGUCAAGUCCGUUCCGAAGGCAUUUUCCACUAGUUUUUGGACUAUGUAAACCACAUUGUACUUUUUUUUACUUUGGCAACAAAUAUUUAUACAUACAAGAUGCUAGUUCAUUUGAAUAUUUCUCCCAACUUAUCCAAGGAUCUCCAGCUCUAACAAAAUGGUUUAUUUUUAUUUAAAUGUCAAUAGUUGUUUUUUAAAAUCCAAAUCAGAGGUGCAGGCCACCAGUUAAAUGCCGUCUAUCAGGUUUUGUGCCUUAAGAGACUACAGAGUCAAAGCUCAUUUUUAAAGGAGUAGGACAAAGUUGUCACAGGUUUUUGUUGUUGUUUUUAUUGCCCC
rnacentral:lncRNA from 1 species